rnacentral:rRNA from 1 species
GACGAACGCUGGCGGCAUGCCUAAUACAUGCAAGUCGAGCGAACAUUUAUAGCUUCUUUCUUCUAUAAAUGUUAGCGUCGGCUGGGUUAGUAACACGUGUGCAACCUUCCCUUCAGAUGUGUAUAACUCCGUGAAACCCUGUCUCAUACCGUCUAAUCAUUUUGUCCGCUUUGCCUAACUCUAUAAGACUUCUUCGGCUUUCACUUCCGGAUUGUCCCGCGGCGCAUUAGCUAGUUGGUUGGCUAACGGCCUACCAAGGCUACGAGUCGUAGCCGACGUGAGAGGGUGAUAGGAGACACGGGAACGGAGACACGGACAAGAGGCCUACGGGAGGAAGCAGUAGGGAAGGGGAGACAAGGGACGGAAGUAUGAUGGAGAAAGGCCGAGUGAGCGAAGAAGGUUUUCGGAUCGUAAAGCACGGUUGGGAGGGAAGAAAAAGUAAGGGAGGAAAUGAAGGGAGAUUGACGGUAACGGAUGAGAAAGCAACGGCUAACUACGUG